CCUCUCUGCUGAUAUGGUGUUUAAUGGAUGUAAGUGACACUUGUUCUGCAGUUCCCUUGGUUUGAAUGUCUCCAAGCAUUACUACAUGAAAAGAUGCAUCAUGCUGGAGAAGAAAAUCAAUAUUGGCCUGUGAAAAACCCAAGUGAAAAUAUCUUGAACGACAUAUGACAUUCAAUAGAAACUUCGCAGCACAUAAAAGGAUCAAGUAACAUUUAACAUCCUGAUGAAGAGCAUGCUGCUGAAAACACUGCUCUGGAAAGUGGUGACUCUUUGAUGCUUCCCCAUAUGCCCAAAUUCCAAGGAGAAAUCUCCCAACUAACAGGUUCCAUUGAAGAUUUGAUGAAGGCGAAGAAUCUGCAACACCUUUUGGACCUUUGGGCUCACACCAUUGAUACCUCUGAUCUUGAUGACAAAGGCCAAUUUGGGUUCUGCAGAGAAAGAAGUCAAUGGAUUAUAACACUGAGGAGAUUCUUGGAUGAUUCCUCUGAGACGGGAAUAACACAACCCAGAAAAUGUGUUGAGCAUUCAGGUGUAAGUAGAAGAUGUCUGUGGUUCCUCUACCACAUUAUGAAUCCUGUUCUCCAAACUCUAGAGGCACCAUUCAGACAGAAGAAAUCAAUUUCAGACACGAUGGGAUAA
rnacentral:lncRNA from 1 species